rnacentral:tRNA from 1 species
GCCUGGGUGGCGGAACUGGCAUACGCGACGGACUUAAAAUCCGUUGGGAUCAUAUCCUGUGCGGGUUCAACUCCCGCCCCAGGCACCA